CAGCAGCCGCGGGAAUACGAAGGGGGCUAGCGUUGCUCGGAAUGACUGGGCGUAAAGGGCGCGUAGGCGGUUUUGACAGUCUGAUGUGAAAUUCCUGGGCUUAACCUGGGGGCUGCGUUUGAGACGUCAAGACUAGAGUGUGAGAGAGGGUUGUGGAAUUCCCAGUGUAGAGGUGAAAUUCGUAGAUAUUGGGAAGAACACCGGUGGCGAAGGCGGCAACCUGGCUCAUUACUGACGCUGAGGCGCGAAAGCGUGGGGAGCAAACAGGAUUAGAUACCCGUGUAGUCCCUGUCUCUUAUAU
rnacentral:rRNA from 1 species